AAGAGGGUGAAAUAUGAAGGCCUUGUCAACGACUGCCAUAACCAAGGCUGGAAGGCAAGGUGCUUACUUGUGGAGGUGGGGUGCAGAGGCUUUGCAGGGCAGUCCCUCUGCAGGGCCUACACUGCACUCAGCAUCACGGGUGAGAGAAGAAGAAGGGCUAUCUGCAAUAGCACAGAGGCUGCAGAGAGGUUUUUGAGGUGGCUCUGGAUAAAAAGAGAAGAGCCGUGGACAAAUGCUGCUAGGGCACAAGCUGAGGCUUGAUCAACCUCAGUUGGGUCACCUGAAGGAGUGUGUCUGAUGUUUCGAAAGACCCGAAAAACACCCAAUCAGCAACAUCACUGAUGAUGUGCCCUAGCUUAGCAUCAGUUGAUGCAUCAUUAAAACUGUGAUUAUAAAGUGUCUGCUCCAACCCGUCGCCAUAGAACAAUUAAUUCUUCAACCGUUCAAUCAUUCUCAAAGACUUUUAAUUCUAUUGACGAUGACUAUUCAAGGUCUUCAUACAGCCUUAACACUGAAGAUCUGACUUCUUUGUUCUCUUCUACUUGUCUUAAUAUCUUGGAUACUGUGGCUCCUUUUAAGAUGGUUCGAGCAAAACCUAGAACUCAACCAUGGCUGAACGCAACGACUCAAUCUGUAAGGCUCGAGUGUAAAAGGGCGGAACGCCUCUGGAAGAAGGAUAAAUUGCAGAUUUCCUUUGAUAUUUUAAAGGAGAAUCUGAUUAAAGACCAAAAAACUGUUAAAUCUGAGAAAUCAAAGUAUCUUUCUAGUGUCAUCUGUAAUAACUCAAACAAGCCAGUUGUGCUAUUUAGUGCAAUUAACUCAGUUUUAAACACUCCCCAAGCAGCCUGCCUAGAGCCUUCAGUUGAGAUGUGAGAACCUUUUAGACUUUUACAUUGACAAGAUUGAGGCUGUUAGAGCUAAUAUUUUGCUCCCUUCAUCUUUUUCAUCCAUUUCCACAGAGUGCUCUGCUGUUUUUGAUCAGUUUGAGUCGGUGUCACUUGAUUCACUGAAAGAGACCUUUGUUAAAAUAAAACCAUCCUCAUGUGGACCAUCAAAACUCCCAUUUCUAUCCAAACUAUUGGAGAAGGUUGUAUUUGGACAAUUGAACUCAUUUUUAGAUUUACAUGGUAUUCAUGAAGUAUUUCAGUCUGGUUUUAAAGCAGUCUGGUUUUUAAUGACUUACUACUUGUCACUGACUGCGCUAUCUUAAUUUUACUGGACCUUUUGGCUUCAUUUGAUAUAGUUGACCAUAAUAUCUUGAUUUCACGGCUCGAACAAUGUGUUGGUAUUAAGGGUACUGCAUUGGAAUGGUUUAAAUCCUAUUUGGCAGAAAGAACUUUUUCAGUUUAUCUUGGAGACUAUGUCUUCUCAACUGCCAUACUCACAUGUGGGGUCCCCCAGGGUUCCAUUUUGGGGCCUAUUCUGUUCUCCUUGUGUAUGCUCCCUUUGGGGCAUAUUUUUAGGAAAUUUGCCCUUGAAACGUAAAGAUACCUGCUCUCUAUCGCCUCUAAUACAGUGUUUUGAAGAAAUGAAGACCUGGAUGGCACUAAAUUUCCUCAAUUUUAAUAAAAACAGAAGUGUUGUUGUUUUACGCCAGGGGGAACCUGUGAGUCAGUAGACCUAAACCUAAGUAAGCUGAAUCCAUAUGUGAAGCCCUUUGUAAAAAAAAAAUUGGGCGUUGUUAUGGAUUGUGGUUUUAAAUUGGAAAACAGGUUAAUUUAGUAGUUAAAUCAUGUUUUUUCCAAUUGAGACAACUCACCAAGGUGAACCCUUUCCUGUCCUCUAAGGACUUUCAAAGAGUUGUGCAUAUUUUCAUCUCAAGUCAGCUUGAUUACUGUAAAAGCCUUUAUUUAGGUAUUAAUCAGGCCUCUCUCUCCAGACUGCAAAUGGUCCAGAAUGUGGCAGCCGCCUAUUGAUGGGCACGAAAGCGGGAACAUAUCUCUCCCAUUCUGGCGUCCCUUCACGGGCUUCCUGUCUAUUAUAAAUCAUCUGAAAAUAUUGGUGCUUGUUUUUAAAUCUCUUAAUGGGUCAGCGCCAAGUUACUUAUCAGAUUUGAUUAAUCUGUAUGCUCUGUCAAGAGCACUAAGGUCUGCUGACCAUUUGCUUUUAGCUGUUCCAAGAGUAAAACUGAGGAGCAGUGGGGACCGAGCAAGGUCUUUAAAUCUGGCCUAAAAACAUAUUUUUUCUUUGUGGCGUUCGAUGCCAUGUGAGAGCUGCUUUCUUUUAUUGUUUUAUUGUGUCUUAAGUGUUUUUCUUUUAUUUGUGUGUUUGUAUUAAUAAAUCAUGUUUCCUUUUUGUAUGUACAGCACUUUGACAAACACUUGUUUUAAAAAAAAGUGCUUUAUAAAUAAACUUGACUGACUUUGACUGCAGAGAACGCCCCUCGGGGGAGUGGCCGGGGGUGUUCUUGGAACUGAUCCAGGACUUUGAUGCAGGGUUUCAGACUCUAAGAACUGUGAGUACACACAAAACAUUUGAUACAGGAUUGCGGAGAACUCCAACACGCGUAAAACGUUCUGGUACCAUAGACAGGUGAAAAAAAAUCCCAGAGUCACAUCAGCCCUGCUCUGAUUAAGACUGAAAUGGAUCAGGGAGAGCAGAACUGAGCCACACAAUAAUAUAAAGAUCAGUGAAGUGAGAGAGAGAUUUACAUGAAGACGGCUGAGUGAUCCUCUUUCUCCCAGAAUAGAGCAGCACUUUCACCAGAUGUUCAACUUUCUUCAUCCAAACUCACUGAAGCACAACACACAGCCCUGAAUCUACAGCUAAACACACUCUCUCCUCACACUGAUAAUGACUAUUAACUCCAAGAAAAGAACACACAAUGUCCAAAAUGAAGCUUUAUUUCAGCAGAGCAAAACUACAGGAAGAGCAACAGGACAGUGAAGAGAGUAAAGACAGAAAUGUCAGCAUUGUGUAGAACUGAAACUCUAUUGUAGAUGGAUGUGGAAGCAGCUCAGUGUUCAGUUCUAU